GAUGAAGAACGUAGCGAAAUGCGAUAAGUAGUGUGAAUUGCAGAAUUCAGUGAAUCAUCGAAUCUUUGAACGCACAUUGCGCCCCUUGGUAUUCCAUGGGGCAUGCCUGUUCGAGCGUCAUUUGUACCCUCAAGCUAUGCUUGGUGUUGGGUGUUUGUCCUCUCCUUUGCGAUUGGACUCGCCUUAAAGACAUUGGCAGCCAGUGUAUUGGUCUUGAAGCGCAGCACAUUUUGCGAUUCUUGCUGAUAAUCACUAGCGUCCAGUAAGCCUAUUUUAACACUUUUGACCUCGGAUCAGGUAGGGAUACCCGCUGAACUUAAGCAUAUCAAUAAGCGGAGGA
rnacentral:misc_RNA from 1 species